rnacentral:snoRNA from 1 species
GUGUGAGGUGAUGAUUAUUUCCCCAGAUGAUCGAAGGUGAAUAUACUGUUCUGUUUUAAUUCUCUAUUUUCAGUUGAGAAUCCAAGCCAGAUUUCUGAUCCAU